rnacentral:ncRNA from 1 species
GGGCGGGAGUGCGGCUAAUAAAAGACCCGCAAGGGGAAUAUGCCCGCCGUCUUGUAGCGGUUUUGAGCUCCUGCCCACCCGUCU